GUACCCACUUUAGCAGCACAUACACUAAAAUCUGAAGGAUAUGGAGGAGAUUAGCAUGGCUCCUGCACAAGGAUGACACAUAAAUUCAUAUUUUU
rnacentral:snRNA from 1 species